rnacentral:misc_RNA from 1 species
GACGAAAUCGAAGAGCAGGGGGCCAGCCAGGGAGCAGGGGCACGGCUAGAAGAAAGGGAGGCAGUUGGCGUGCUCCGGGCGGUCCUCGACGGCGGCGCUUUAGUGGUCCUCGAUGGCGAUGGCGCUCCAGCGGCUCCGGUCGUUGGUGAGCAGGGCGUCGGCGAGAGCGGCGAGAGAGGAGAUGGCGUGGGGCGAGCUUGGGUGGCCGGGGAACGGAUCCAUGGGGGCUCGGCGUCGAUAUUUAUAGAGAGAAAGGAGAGGGAGAGAGAAAUCCGGGAAGGGAGAGGUCGGCGGCUGCCAUUAGUGGCGCCGGCCGUUUCCCUCGGAG